GGCCGUCUAGCUCAGUUGGUUAGAGCGUCGUGCUAAUAACUGUUAACGCGAAGGUCUUGGGUUCGACCCCCACGAUGGCCA